CCUACGUGUGGCAGCAGUGAGGAAUCUUGGUCAAUGGACGCAAGUCUGAACCAGCCCUUCCGCGUGCAGGCAGACGGCUCUAUGAGUAGUAAACUGCUUUUGUACGAGGGUAAACGCAGAUACGCGUAUCUGUCUGAAAGUAUCGUACGAAUAAGGAUCGGCUAACUCCGUGCCCGCAGCCGCGGUAAUACGGAGGAUUCACUCGUUAUCCGGAUUUAUUGGGUUUAAAGGGUGCGUAGGCGGUCGGAUAAGUUAGAGGUGAAAUCCCGAGGCUCAACUUCGGAAUUGCAUCUGAUACUGUUCGGCGAGAGAGUAGUUGCGGUAGGCGGAAUGUAUGGUGUAGCGGUGAAAUGCUUAGAGAUCAGACAGAACACCGAGUGCGAAGGCAGCUUACCAAGCUACUUCUGACGUUGAGGCACGAAAGCGUGGGGAGCAAACAGGAUUAGAUACCCCAGUAGUC
rnacentral:rRNA from 1 species